UAUAGACAUCGUGAAUCAUCGAAUCUUUGAACGCACUUUGCACCUUGCGGCUUUUGUCACAAGGUAUGCUUGUUUGAGUAUCCGAAACUACCUCACCUCCCCUUCGGGGCGAAGUGGACUUGAGAUUCGAUAACUGCAGUUAAAUGUGGGAGUCGUUUCUUUAAAGGUGGUGGUCGCUUGUGGGAGGUCUCCGUCUGGAGCCUGACAGACUAUUGGGAUAACAUCCUGACGAUCGUCUGUCGGUUCAUUAUAUUAGACGUUGGCUGACCUUGGCCAACAUUGAGAGCAGCCUUAUCAAAUGGGACAUGCUUUCACGUGGACUAAUGUAACAGUUAGGAAACAGUCAUUAUGGAUCUCAAAUCAAGUAAGGAUACCCGCUGAACUUAAGCAUAUCAAUAAGCGGAGG
rnacentral:rRNA from 1 species